UGCAAAUGCUGCACAGCAGGAACUGAAGUUAUUGCUUCAUCGUUCUACUCUGUUGUUUUCACAAGGCAAAAUGUAUGGUUAUGUGGAUACCUUACUUACUAUGUUAGCCAUGCUUUUAAAGAUGGUACUGUCUAGUUGCAGGAAAACAAGCUCAGGGCUCCCACUGAUUCUACAUUAUGCAAUAUUUGCUGUGCUCACAAGCGUCUUGACAAAGGAUGACUGGUGGAAUCUUCUGUUGAAGGCCAUAUACUCCUUAUGUGACCUAUCCCGAUUUCAAGAGGCUGAGUUGCUUGUAGAUUCCUCAUUGGAAUAUUACUCAUUUUAUG
rnacentral:lncRNA from 1 species